GGGGAUAACAGUUAGAAAUGACUGCUAAUACCGCAUAAGCGCACUAGAACCGCAUGGUUCGGUGUGAAAAACUGAGGUGGUAUAGGAUGGACCCGCGUCUGAUUAGCUUGUUGGUGGGGUAACGGCUCAUCAAGGCGACGAUCAGUAGCCGUCCUGAGAGGGCGACCGGCCACAUUGGGACUGAGACACGGCCCAAACUCCUACGGGAGGCAGCAGUGGGGAAUAUUGCACAAUGGGGGAAACCCUGAUGCAGCGACGCCGCGUGAGUGAAGAAGUAUUUCGGUAUGUAAAGCUCUAUCAGCAGGGAAGAAAAUGACGGUACCUGACUAAGAAGCCCCGGCUAACUACGUGCCAGCAGCCGCGGUAAUACGUAGGGGGCAAGCGUUGUCCGGAUUUACUGGGUGUAAAGGGAGCGUAGGUGGCAUGGUAAGCCAGAAGUGAAAACCCAGGGCUCAACUCUGUGGAUUGCUUUUGGAACUAUCAAGCUAGAGUGCUGGAGGGGUAAGCGGAAUUCCUAGUGUAGCGGUGAAAUGCGUAGAUAUUAGGAGGAACACCGGUGGCGAAGGCGGCUUACUGGACAGAAACUGACACUGAGGCUCGAAAGCGUGGGGAGCAAAAAGGAUUAGAUACCCUGG
rnacentral:rRNA from 1 species